rnacentral:snRNA from 1 species
AUCGCUUCUCGGCCUUUUGGCUAAGAUCAAGCGUAGUAUCUGUUCUUAUCAGUUUAGUAAAGUAGACAGGUCCUCUUGUCUUACAGUUCUGGAGGCUCAGUGCAGAUCCGAGGAUCCACACCUGGAGCUGUCCCUCCUGCUGGGAGUCCUCAGUGUACAGAGCAUCACUACGUGGGCGAUGGACUCCACCCUCA